rnacentral:miRNA from 2 species
AGCUUCUUUACAGUGUUGUCUUG